rnacentral:sRNA from 1 species
GCCAGGCACUAUGGCACAUGCCUGUAAUCCCAGCAACUUGGGAAGCUGAGGCAGGAGGAUUGCAAGUUCAAGGCCAUCCUGGGCAAUUUAACAAGAUCUUGUCUCAA